rnacentral:rRNA from 1 species
CCUACGGGUGGCAGCAGUGGGGGAUAUUGGACAAUGGGGGAAACCCUGAUCCAGCGACGCCGCGUGAGUGAAGAAGUAUUUCGGUAUGUAAAGCUCUGUCAGCAGGGAAGAAAGAAAUGACGGUACCUGACCAAGUAGCCCCGGCUAACUACGUGCCAGCCGCCGCGGUAAUACGUAGGGGGCAAGCGUUAUCCGGAUUUACUGGGUGUAAAGGGAGCGUUGACGGCAUGGCAAGUCUGAAGUGAAAGCCCGGGGCUCAACCGCGGGACUGCUUUGGAAACUGUUAAGCGGGAGUGCAGGAGAGGUAAGUGGAAUUCCUAGUGUAGCGGUGAAAUGCGUAGAUAUUAGGAGGAACACCAGUGGCGAAGGCGGCUUACUGGACUGUAACUGACGUUGAGGCUCGAAAGCGUGGGGAGCAAACAGGAUUAGAUACCCCUGUAGUC